CUCCUUCGCCUCCCCCUAUAUAUAAACCCACAUCUUGCCAACAAGCCGCACCAGUAGUCUCCUCCGACAGCCAACGUCGACUGGUGAUGUCGUCAAGCCAGCAGCAAUGAGGCGCCAUCGAUCACUAUCGACCAGCAGUCCCGUCUCCCCCCCAAAUCGCGACCAGCCACGAAGCAUCCCUAGUACACGCGACCACCAACAAAAGGGGCUUCCCCGGUGCAUGGUCACCAUCUACAGUCCUGCCACCACGUCGAGUCAUAGGCUUGAGUUGAACCAGAUCAGAGAGCGAGAUGGCUUUAGGCAUCGUAGAAUAUUGCAGUCCAGUGGAGGUGUCGUGGAUUUCCCAGUUUAAGGAACCUUCAAUCCUU
rnacentral:lncRNA from 1 species